AGGGGAAAUACAUUUUUGGUUCCUCUUAGUUUGAAAAAAUGAAUAGUUUCCUGUAAUCUUAAGGGAUAAUUUAAGUGACAUAAGGGAAGUUACUUUUCCCUUUGCCCUUUAAUUUACAUUUUAAAUGGAGAUCUGGAAAAAGACAUCAGACUUUAAUUGCUCACAGCUUAAGGUAAAUUCUAAUAUCCAAUGCAGAGUUCUGUGUAAAAGUUAACAUGGCAGCUUGCUGAAUUGUGUUGAAAAGACAAGGGGAAAACAUCAACAUUAAAAACUUAAAAACUAAAUUUCAAGGACUCUGGAAGGAUUUCCCAGUCUAUAUUCCUUGAUUAAUAUGUUGUAGGAUUGAACAGGAGAUCCACAAAUUGUACCUUGCAUGUCUUCAUGUUUAUUUGAAUCGUUUCUACAAAAGGGGAAAUUACCUCUUUUGAAGAAUGUAUUCCUUAUGCUAAAUAAGAGUCUACCUUCUGGUGCUGCUAUAGGAUGACCUCUGAUUUAAGCUCUCCCGUUUUAAUCUUAAUCAACUGAAGCUAGCAUGUGGGAGAGGUGAUUCUUCUGCCGCAUGAUCUUCCCUGGGGUACCAGUUACCUGGUCUCUUUCUUUAGCCUCUGAUUGAUUCUGUGUCUCCCUAUGAUCCUGCUAAUAAGUUCCUUUUUAUCAAAGUUUGCAGCCCCAAAUUUUAACUGGAAGGCAUCCUCCAACAUAUCCAGGGCAUGAACGUUUGGAUGCUAAGUGUCAGGGUUCAUCUAAGGUAAGAAGUAGGCUUUGAAGUUGCCUGAUGUGUUACUUGAUUUCUUCUUUAAAAAAAUUUAAUUUUUUUUAGAGACAGGGUCUAGCUCUGUUACCCAGGCUGGAAUGCAGUGGUGCAAUCUCAGCUCACUGUAAAACUGCCAGGCUCGAGCAAUCUUCCUGCCUUAUCCUCCCGACUACUAGUGUGCCAUUUGAAUUGUCUUCCUAACAACUGAUGUGGCAAAGAAUCUAAGAUCAUGUUCUCUCAAUGCACCACACACAUGACAAUAUUUCAUCCCCACUGUUAGUUAUAUGGACUCCCAGAAAUAAAGUUUACCUUACUGAACAAGUUUUCUUUCUUUGAGUUGAGAAGUCUCCAUUAGAGAUUAGGUAUCCAGGAGGAUUUGGGUCAAAGCAGCAGAGGAUGAGCUCCAGUAGCAUUGAGAGAGAGGCCUCAAAU
rnacentral:lncRNA from 1 species